UACGGAGGAUGCAAGCGUUAUCCGGAUUGAUUGGGCGUAAAGCGUCUGUAGGUGGUUACGCUAGUCGGCUAUUAAAGAUCAGGGCUGAACCCUGAGCAAGCAGUCGAAACUGCGUGGCUGGGGUACGGUAGGGGCAGAGGGAAUUCCCGGUGUAGCGGUGAAAUGCGUAGAUAUCGGGAAGAACACCAAAGGCGAAAGCGCUCUGCUGGGCCGAAACUGACACUGAGAGACGAAAGCUAGGGGAGCGAAUGGG
rnacentral:rRNA from 1 species